rnacentral:snRNA from 1 species
UUUCACUAGAGGGCCAAAUCCACCCUCAUCAGAACUAUUCUUUUGCCUUUUACUAAAGAAUGCUGUCUGCUCGCCACUCAAAGCGGCAUACACCUAAUUUUGGAGAACAAAACAUAAUCAAUGAUUUU